rnacentral:rRNA from 1 species
AGAGUUUGAUCAUGGCUCAGGAUGAACGCUAGCUACAGGCUUAACACAUGCAAGUCGAGGGGAAACGACAUCGAAAGCUUGCUUUUGAUGGCGUCGACCGGCGCACGGGUGAGUAACGCGUAUCCAACCUGCCCAUCACUUGGGGAUAACCUUGCGAAAGUAAGACUAAUACCCAAUGAUAUCUCUAGAAGACAUCUGAAAGAGAUUAAAAGAUUUUAUCGGUGAUGGAUGGGGAUGCGUCUGAUUAGCUUGGUUGGCGGGGUAACGGCCCACCAAGGCUACGAUCAGUAGGGGUUCUGAGAGGAAGGUCCCCCANAUUGGAACUGAGACACGGUCCAAACUCCGUACGGGAGGCA